GUGGUUGAUAAUAAGGGACUGAUUGUUAAGAAUCGUCCAAAUGGUGGUUUAAAUGAACAUUUUACGUCAUUUGCUCAUGAACAUGAUCCUGCUGAUACUUUGGCUGAGGCCGUCAAACAAAUUAAACCUACAAUUUUAGUUGGCACUGCAGCUAUUGGAGGUGCAUUUACACCAGAUAUUUUGAAGCGAAUGGCUGAAUUCAACGACAGACCAAUAAUCUUCGCUCUUUCAAAUUUAACAAUUAAAGCUGAAUGCACCGCCGAAGAUGCUUACA